rnacentral:rRNA from 1 species
GACGUAGGGCGCGAGCGUUGUCCGGAUUUAUUGGGCGUAAAGAGCUCGUAGGCGGCUUGUCGCGUCGGCUGUGAAAUCCCGUGGCUUAACUGCGGGUCUGCAGCCGAUACGGGCAGGCUAGAGUUCGGUAGGGGAGACUGGAAUUCCUGGUGUAGCGGUGAAAUGCGCAGAUAUCAGGAGGAACACCGGUGGCGAAGGCGGGUCUCUGGGCCGAUACUGACGCUGAGGAGCGAAAGCGUGGGGAGCGAACAGG